CCUACGGGAGGCAGCAGUGAGGAAUAUUGGUCAAUGGGCGGGAGCCUGAACCAGCCAAGCCGCGUGAGGGAAGAAGGUACAGCGUAUCGUAAACCUCUUUUGUCAGGGAACAAAGGCGGGGACUAGUCCCCGGAUGAGGGUACCUGAAGAAAAAGCAUCGGCUAACCCCGUGCAAGCAGCCGAGGGAAUACGGAGGAUGGGAGCGUUAUCCGGAUUUAUUGGGUGUAAAGGGUGCGCAGGCGGCCUGUUAAGUCAGUGGGAAAAGCCCGGGGCUCAACCCGGUGGGGCCGUUGAAACUGGCGGGCUGGAGUUGGAGAGAAGUACGCGGAAUGCGCGGUGUAGCGGUGAAAUGCUUAGAUAUCUCGCAGAACCCCGAUUGCGAAGGCAGCGUACCGGCUCCACACUGACGCUGAGGCACGAAAGCGUGGGUAUCGAACAGGAUUAGAUACCCGAGUAGUC
rnacentral:rRNA from 1 species